UUUCCGUUGGUGAACCUGCGGAAGGAUCAUUACAGUGUUCCCUGCCCUUCGGGGUAGGAUCGCCACCCUUGAUUAUUUAUGAGUGUUGCUUUGGCGGGCCUCGCGGCCUGGCCGCGCCCCGGCUUCGGCGGGGGAGCGCCCGCCAGAGGAUUCUACGAACCUGAUUAUUAGUGUCGUCUGAGUACUAUAUAAUAGUUAAAACUUUCAACAACGGAUCUCUUGGUUCUG
rnacentral:misc_RNA from 1 species